rnacentral:rRNA from 1 species
CUUCUUUUUUCUUCUCAUCGGAGUUAUUUCACAAAGACUUGCCAGGGUAAGGAAGAAGGGGGGAAUAAGCACACUUGGAGAGCGCAGUACAACGGAGAGUUGUAUGCUGCGUUCGGGAAGGAUGAAUCACUCCCGAAAAGGAAUCUAUUGAUUCUCUCCCAAUCGGUUGGACCGUAGGUGCGAUGAUUUACUUCACGAGCGAGGUCUCUGGUUCAAGUCCAGGAUGGCCCAGCUGCGCCAGGGAAAAGAAUAGAAGAAGCAUCUGAGUGUAAUUCUCCGUAAUGGGCGAAAUGCUGACGGAGCAAUGCCGCGUGGAGGUAGCAGGCCAACGGGUCGUGAACUUCUUUUCCCGGAGAAGAAGCAACGACGGUAUCUGGGGAAUAAGCAUCGGCUAACUCUGUGCCAGCAGUCGCGGUAAUACAAAGGAUGCAAGCGUUAUCCGGAAUGAUUGGGCGUAAAGUGUCUGUAGGUGGCUUUUUAAGUCCGCCGUCAAAUCCCAGGGCUCAACCCUGGACAGGCGGUGGAAACUACCAAGCUGGAGUACGGUAGGGGAAGAGGAAAUUUCCGGUGGAGCGGUGAAAUGCGUAGAGAUCGAAAAGAACACCGACGGCAAAAGCACUCUACUGGGCCGACACUCACACUGAGAGACGUAAACUAGGGGAGCGAAUGGGAUUAGAUACCCCAGUAGUCCUAGCCGUAAACGAUGGAUACUAGGCGCUGUGCGUAUCAACCCGUGCAGUGUUGUAGCUAACGCGUUAAGUAUCCCGCCUGGGGAGUACGUUCGCAAGAAUGAAACUCAAAGGAAUUGACGGGGGCCUUCACAAGCGGUGGAUCAUGUGGUUUAAUUUGAUGCAAAACGAAGAACUUUACCAGGGCUUGACAUGCCGCGAAUCCUCUUGAAAGAGAGGGGUGCCUUCGGGAACGUGGACACAGGUGGUGCAUGGCUGUCGUCAGCUCGUGCCGUAAGGUGUUGGAUUAAGUCCUGCAACGAGCUCAACCCUCGUGUUUAGUUGCCAUCGUUGAGUUUGGAACCCUGAACAGACUGCCGGUGAUAAGCCGGAGGAAGGUGAGGAUGAUGUCAAGUCAUCAUGCCCCUUAUGCCCUGGGCGACAAACGUGCUACAAUGGCCACGACAAAGGGUCGCGAUCCCGCGAGGGUGAGAUAAUCCCAAAAACCCAUCCUCAGUUCGGAUUGCAGGCUGCAACUCGCCUGCAUGAAGCCGGAAUCGCUAGUAAUCGCCGGUCACCCAUACGGCGGUGAAUUCGUUCCUGGGCCUUGUACACACCGCCCGUCACACUAUGGGAGUUGGCCAUGCCCGAAGUCGUUACCUUGACCGCGAGGAGGGGGAUGCCGAAGGCAGGGCUAGUGACUGAGUGAAGUCGUAACAAGGUAGUCGUACUGGAAGGUGCGGCUG